rnacentral:rRNA from 1 species
CCUACGGGAGGCAGCAGUGAGGAAUAUUGGUCAAUGGACGAGAGUCUGAACCAGCCAAGUAGCGUGAAGGAUGACUGCCCUAUGGGUUGUAAACUUCUUUUAUAUAGGAAUAAAACGAGGCACGUGUGCCUUUUUGCAUGUACCUUAUGAAUAAGGAUCGGCUAACUCCGUGCCAGCAGCCGCGGUAAUACGGAGGAUCCGAGCGUUAUCCGGAUUGAUUGGGUUUAAAGGGAGCGUAGAUGGGUUGUUAAGUCAGUUGUGAAAGUUUGCGGCUCAACCGUAAAAUUGCAAUUGAUACUGGCAGUCUUGAGUACAGUUGAGGUAGGCGGAAUUCGUGGUGUAGCGGUGAAAUGCUUAGAUAUCACGAAGAACCCCGAUUGCGAAGGCAGCUUACUAAACUGUGACUGACAUUGAUGCUCGAAAGUGUGGGUAUCAAACAGGAUUAGAUACCCUAGUAGUC